rnacentral:rRNA from 1 species
CUAAUUGCGAUAACGAACGAGACCUUAACCUGCUAAAUAGCCAGGCUAGCUUUGGCUGGUCGCCGGCUUCUUAGAGGGACUAUCGGCUCAAGCCGAUGGAAGUUUGAGGCAAUAACAGGUCUGUGAUGCCCUUAGAUGUUCUGGGCCGCACGCGCGCUACACUGACAGAGCCAACGAGUUUCUUCCUUGUCCGAAAGGUCUGGGUAAUCUUGUUAAACUCUGUCGUGGGGAUAGAGCAUUGCAAUC